UACGAAGGGGCUAGCGUUGCUCGGAAUUACUGGGCGUAAAGCGCACGUAGGCGGUCUUUAAGUCGGGGUGAAUCCUGGAGCUCAACUCCAGAACUGCCUUCGAUACUGGAAGACUUGAGUCCGGGAGAGGUGAGUGGAACUGCGAGUGUAGAGGUGAAAUUCGUAGAUAUUCGCAAGAACACCAGUGGCGAAGGCGGCUCACUGGCCCGGUACUGACGC
rnacentral:rRNA from 1 species